CACAUUUCACGAUGAAGUGAAAAACUUGGGUGGAGUGUAAAAAGUGUGAACGGUAGAUCCACUUGCAGUGUGUACAAGGAGACUGGACUACACAGGACUUCCUUUGUGGGUGUCACUGGUACAUACCCGUAUAGUAUAUACUGGCAUAAUGUAUAAUAACUGUAUAAUACUGGCUUUUGUAACGGCUGCUUUACAUUUUUAAAAGGGAAGGGAUACACUGUGAUGGAAAUUGGUGGUUAAUGUCCAAUCCUAUUUUAUUCUAAAGCAAUGGUGUCGCAUUGUAUCUAUGAUAUGCUAUUUCAAAGUAAGCUUUAAUAUGAAUAUGUCUUUAUCAACAUUUCGGACUGCACAACUGGCAGAAAGACUGAAAUACAUUGUGGCUAAAAAUGAACCUGCAGUGGAAAGUGAUAUCUAUGGCCAGAUGACCUGAUUGAUAUAGGUGCACAUUGGGUGGCUGAGGCGGACAAUUUGCAUAUCCAGAUAUAAAGCUGGAUCUAUUCUACUCAACGUAACCAAGACAUCAGACCUAAAAUACUGCUCAGUGUGGAGCUGUUGCAGGCCGUGUUUUGUGGAGGCCGUUCUGCUCGAUGGUAACAAAAUGGUUGGGUCAUUAGCACCAGUGUGCUGGAGGGCUAUCGUCAGUACCGAAGAGUUUCAGAGGAAGGCCCAUUAUCGAAGGCUGAAAAGAUGCAUUGGAGUAGGAAAAAGAGGAGAACUUUGAGGGAUGUACGGCGGCCCAUCUCACCCUGGUUUCUGCAGCCAGAUUUGCGCCUGUAAUGCCGUAAAGUCGUUUUUGCAGGGGAAAAAAACAUUAAAAAUAUUUUAUACAGUUGAGACAA
ensembl:lncRNA